ensembl:lncRNA
GUGAAAAGUGGUGCCAAGUUGCAUGAAUUCUACAGUGUAGGUGUAGACCCAAAGUGAGUGCUUGCUUUCUUUGGGCCCUUCCACACAGCUGUAUAACCCAGAAUAUCAAGGCAGAAAAUCCCACAAUAUCUGCUUGGAACUGGGACAUCUGAGUCCACACUGCCAUAUACCCCAGUUCAAAGCAGACAAUGUGGGACUGUAUUCAGCUGUGUGGAAGGGGGCCUUGUUUCCCCUUUCAUGGAGGAGUAGAACGGGAACCGGAAUAGUGGGGGAGACGAGGCAUGCCCCCUUGUCUUGGCCUCUUUUCUUCUGUAUGCAAAAAUACCUCUCACAUCCGGCGCGUGCCAGUUUGAGCUCCCCGCCCCUACACGCCUGCGCGGAAAGCAACGCGGCGGUCUCCGGGGUGGCGCCUGCCAGAUUCAAGAACGAGGUUGAGGAGCCUCGUUCUGAAUUGCCUCCUCCCACCCCUCCCUUCCCGUUGGCGAAGAUGCGGGCGGGCGGGCGCCUUAGAAUGCCCUCGCGCCGUCACGCGAGCCACGCAUGCGCACUGCCCUGCUCCUUUCUCAGAGGGGAGUUCUGGAGUGGGACUGGGAAGUUACAGCUACCACUUCUUUCUACUCCUGGAGCAGCAGCCCUUCUAACAGUGAACCACCUUACUCCUCUGUUAAAGCUCCCGCUGCCUCCUCCUCCUCCUCCUUGUGGCUCAGUCACUCUUCUAGAUUUCACAGAGAAGCAAACACGAAGCCAGCCUGCACUCAAUCAGCAUGACUUUCAAGCAAAUCUCAGACUAACACAGAUCUGCGCCACUAUGUCAGUGCUUGGAGAGCAUGCUGAACUAGACCAAGGGAGAGUUACAGUUGAUCAUCUUGUGCCACUCGGCAGUACGCAGGUUGCUGAAGUUGUCAAAGGUGAAUAGUAGGUCCCACAUCAGCGAGGCCCAUUUGAUAGACAGCCUGGGAGAGGUUAUAAGGGGAUUGUCUUCUUACAGAGUUAUCCCAAGCCAAUUGCCCGUCCCCCCGAAGACAAGACUGAAAAGCCAACAGUUUAUUAAGGAAACCUUGAAGUGUUAUUUGACUCCUUGAAGAUUUAUUAUUUGUUCAUCAAUAAAGGCUUUGUUAUUUCAUUAAAGACUCAAAAGGCCACCCUUUUCAGGGAAAUCCUCAAGAACCUCUCUUUCGAGUCGCCCUGGCUUCCCGCUGGGCAUAAAGUAUACGUCCUAUACAAAGACAAUAGUUACAGGCCCAGCGCAUGACAGAACAGUCACAGUUGAUCAUCUUGUGCCACUCGGAAGUACACAGGUUGUUGAAGUUGUCAAAGGUGAAUAGAGUAUUUUAGGAGAUGCUCAGAUAGGAGAAAACUAUUUGAGACUGAGUAAGUAGAACUCUUUCUUGGCGGUUCAUAUAUAUAUAUAUAUACACACACACACACACACACACACACACACAUACAUACAUACACACACACAGGGUUAACUUCUUAUCUGUUUCACAAAGGUAUGGAAUGUGAUGGCUAACUGGUAGCUGAUAGCAUGUAAUAAUGAAAGUUCAGGGUAAAUCAGGACUUCUCAUGACAGCAUAUAUUUAGGUAAUCUGCAGCUAUUUAUUUUGGAAUAUUUAUAUCCAUCCUUUCAACCAGGCAGGCUCCCAGGGAAUUGCUUACAAAUCAUUAAUUUGACAGUUCCCUGACCUCGGGCUUACAAUCUAAAUAAGGCAUGAUCCAUAACGGACAUGGAAAUGGGUCACAUGUCUAUGAAUGCAUUCAGAGCAAACAAGUGACAACAAUACGGAAAGUCAAAUUUUGAAUUUCAGAAUGGUGGCAUAUACUGCUAUUUUCUUUACAAGAAAAAGAUUGUGGGAUUUGGGAGGUGUUCCAAAAGAGGUAAACAUCCAACCAGGACCAUAUUUACUAAAACAGUUACCGUGGGAUCAAAAGAUACAAAAGAAACGGAUUAUCCCAUUUCAUUCGAGAAUUGCCAUUGCCCUGCAAUAUCCAGACAGAUGAAUACAUGACAGUGUUUCUUUGAAUUAAAUAUACGUAAGAGUAUAUUUAGGAUACAGAUAAAUAGUAAUCUCUGCCCCAUUCUCUCUCUAUAUGUGUAUGUAUUACUAUCCUUUUGUUCAAGAAACCAAUACAUUCAGAUUGGCACAGAAAGAAUAGAGCUUAUUCUCCAGAACCCAUUUGCAUUAUGAGGUCUGUGCUCUGAAAUAUGCAAAAUUAGUAGUAAAGAUUAUAUCUGUGGGUUCACACAAGUGGAAUAUCUUAACUGCAUCUAUAGAUGGAGCAGCUUUCUACAUGUGAGCUUGGCUUCCUCCCCAGUGUUUGUUAUGAAUAUUAUGGAUUGUGACAAAGUGUAGUAUAAAGGGUGAUUCAGAUUGAACCUUAGUGACAAUUUGAGCUGUUCAGCAGUGGAACUCUCUGCCCUGAAGUGUGGUGGAGGCUUUUAAACAGAGGCUGGAUGGCCAUUUGUCGGGGGUGCUUUGAAUGCCAUUUUCCUGCUUCUUGGCAGGGGAUUGGACUGGGUGGCCCACGAGGUUUCUUCUACCUCUAUGAUUUUAUAAUUCUAAUAUCCUUAACUAUUCUCAGAAGGGAUUAGUCUCCAUACUUUUAAUGCAGACCCACAAAAUAGAAGCAAAAUCACAUACUGUCAGAAUUUCUUUAGUUUUCAGAGUUUUUUUUUAAGAUUGGAAUGGUGAGAGCACCCCUUACUAGUUUAUUAUCUUUUAAUAUACGUGAUACUGCAAUAAUGACUUCACAUCCUUUAUUAUGUAACUUGAGGCCAGAGUUUUGCAGUGCUUUGCAUGUUGAACUACAGUAGAGUCUUGCUUAUACAGCAUUCUGGAUUAUCCAAUUCUGUUUGCCUUUUAGUAGUCAAUGGUUUUGUAGUCAAUGUUUUCAGUUCAUUGCGAUGUUUCUGUGCUAAAUUCGUAAAUACAGUAUUUGCUACAUAACGUUACCACACACUGAACUGCUUUUUCUGUUGAUUUGUUGUAAAACAUGAUGUUUUGGUGCUUAAUUUGUAAAAUCAUAACAUAAUUUGACAUUUAAUAGGCUUUUCCUUAAUCCCUCAUUAUCCAACAUUUUCACUUACCCCGUUUAUGUUGCAUAAGCGAGACUGUACUGUACAUGCAAAGAGGCCAUGGAAGCCCACUGGGUAAUCUUGAGCAAGUCAUAUACUCUCAGUGCCAGAACACUCUGUGAUAGGUUUGUCUGAGGAUCACCAUAAAUUGGAAACAACUUAAAGGCACAAAACACAACAGCAACAACAACAAGCAAGUAGCUCACGUUGUGUCCAUCAGUUGGUGCUUAAAGUGAUGCUAUGCACAAGAGCAAAGCCUUUUCAAAAUAUUGCUCUAAUGCUUCUGUUUCUUUCUCUCUUUUUCUCUUAAAGAAAAUCCAGAAGCCACUGUCUUCAUAGGAAACAUUAAUCAAGAAAAUAAAGUACUGACCUAGAGAGAGAGACAUCCAGAGAUGUGCAGGCAGCACAUACAAUGUUUAAAUGCCACAUCAUGAAUGCAAGACUGCUAUUUAUCCUACAAGUGUGAAUGAUGAUGCCAGAAUUAUUCCUGGUUCACAUAUUGCAGAGUUCAAUUUAAAACAGAAUUUUAAAGGAAAUCUUCAUGUCUCAUCUGAUUUAAAGUGCCAUAAGAAAACAGUGAUAAAAAAUUCCUAAAUCCUGGUCUGCUGAAACUCAAAAGAGGCUCUAUUUAUUCCAGUUAAUGAUGAACAGGACCACUACCACAGCUUUUGCACACUGUUCUAUCCUAUAGCUCUCACUGAAGCUGUAUUGUAAAGAUAUUUGUGUAACUGUUUUUCCAUGCCAUUUAGGGACGGCGGAGUUUUGGGAAGGAGAAUGAGAGAUAAAUCGUCCACAGUCUUAAACUGCUUUUCUAAGGCCCCAUCUACACUGCCAUAGAAAAUCCAGAUUAUCUGCUUUGAAUUGGAAUAUAUGGCAGUGUAGACUCAUAUAUUCCAGUUCAAAGCAGAUAAUGGGGAUUAUCUGCUUUGAUAAUCUGGAUUAUAUGGCACUGUAGAAGGGACUUAAAAAGCAAUCUACAUGUCUACAGCCAUAUUCCAUAUUGUGUCAUGACUUAGUUACCAUAGGAGUUAACAGGACUAAAGUGCAGCUAACAAAUUGUGCAGCAUGGUAACGGCGCUCCAUGCAGUCAUGCCGGCCACAUGACCUUGGAGAUGUCUAUGGACAACGCCGGCUCUUCGGCUUAGAAAUGGAGAUGAGCACCAACCCCCAGAGUCGGUCACGACUGGACUUUACGUCAGAGGAAACCUUUACCUUUACUAAUACAUGCAUGCUUUAACAUUGCAGCUGAAAUACCAAUACCAAUAAUCUCAAAAGAUAUGCAUUCCACCCCCUUUUUUCUGUAAAUAUUAACGUCUUAUAAUGUGGAUAGGAGAAUGUUACAGUUUGUACAAAUUUGGUGAUAUGUUGUGUGCUAAAUACAUUGUAUAGUGUUUUAUUUUAAAAUAUACAUUAUGAGAGUUUUAAAAAACUGAGAUGAAUGUGUGUCAAUUCUGGUCAAAAUAUUCCAACGGGAGCUUCACUGGCGAUAAAGCAAAGCAAAACUAGUAAACCAAAAUCCAAUUUUUGGUGCUGCCUUUAUCAGGACAACACAAAAGCACAAAAUACAUCACAAAAAUACACCAGGUUUCUUUAUUAGAAAAUAUGGUAUGCAGUGAACAUCCACAUUCACUGAGGUAGGGGCAUCUGACCCUCAUUUCCAUGGACAAGUGUGGAUCAAAACAAUUGUUUUUACAGUUCACAAUUACUUGAUACAGUGACUUAUAGUUACUGUGAAGCUGUGACCUCAUGAAAUGGAGAAGUAAUGUCCCAUGUUUCUCUUAGAACCAUAGAAUAAUAGAGUUGGAAAAGACCACAUAGGCCAUCUAGUCCAGUCCCCUGCCAUGCAGGAAAAGCACAAUCAAAGCACCCCUGACAGAUGGCCACGUAGUCUCUGUUUAAAAGCUUCCAAGGAAGGAAUUCCCACCACACUGAGGCAUAGAGUUCUACUAAUGACCAGCUCUUACAGACAGGCAGUUCUUUCUAGUGUUCCAGUGGAAUCUUUCCUGCAAUUUGAACCCAUUCCUCUGAGUCUUUGUUUCAAGGGCAACCCCCCCCCCCCCCCCAAAAAAAACAACCCAAGCCUGCUCCCUCUUCCUUAUGACAUCCUUUCACAUAUUUAAACAUGGCGAUCAUGUCUUCUCUCAACCUUCUCUUCUGCAGGUUAAACAUACCCAGCGCUUUAAGACACUCCUCAUAAUGAUUCAUGGUCUCCAGACCUUUAAACAUUUUAGUUGCCCUCUUCUGAACACCUUCCAGCUUGUCAAUAUGUCUUUCAUGUAAUCGUUUGUAAUGUUUAGGUUUUAUUUUUCAAAUAACCAGAAGUAUUUAUUUUAGUUGCUUUCGAGCAUAUUGAAACUGUUAUUACAGUAGAGUCUCGCUUAUCCAACGUUCUGUAUUAUCCAAUGUUCUGUAUUAUCUAACACAGUCUGCCUUCUGCCAGGAUCCACAGCUUUUUCUCUAGGCAGCAACACGCAGCGGGUAACACGCCCAACAACAACAACACAAGUGCGGCCACACUCCCAAACCAAUUGUGGACUUGUAAAACAUGAUGUUUUGGUGCUUAAUUUGUACAAGUAUUAUGUAAUUUGAAGCUUAAUAGACUUUUCCUUAAUCCCUCCUUAUUAUCCAACAUUUUUGCUUAUACAACAUUCUGCCGUUUAUGUUAAGUGAGACUCUACUGUACUUUGAAACCGCAGCUCUAAGAGAAGUUGCCCUUUG